AUUUGAGGUAGGCGCUGCGGUGUUCGAGGAGCGCCCCGACUUCCGAGUCCGAGGGCACGCCAAUUUAUUGGCAGGCUUCUUGGGGAAAUUCCCCGGACGUAACGACAGAGAGUGUCACCUCCGCAAGGAGGAUCCCCACGCGAGGCUGCGGAAUGCGACGAUGUCAUUCUGAUGAAGGAGCGUUAUCUGACGGCCUCGCGUGGGCCGUCCAAGCAAAGUUAUGCCAUAACUCAACGGGGAUUACGACUACCUUCGAG
rnacentral:RNase_MRP_RNA from 1 species